CUACGGGGGGCUCCAGUGAGGAAUAUUGCACAAUGGGGGGAACCCUGAUGCAGCAACGCCGCGUGGAGGAUGACGCAUUUCGGUGUGUAAACUCCUUUUAUAUGUCAAGAAAAUGACGGUAGCAUAUGAAUAAGCACCGGCUAACUCCGUGCCAGCAGCCGCGGCAAUACGGAGGGUGCAAGCGUUACUCGGAAUCACUGGGCGUAAAGGACGCGUAGGCGGGUUGGAAAGUCAGGUGUGAAAUCCUACAGCUUAACUGUAGAACUGCACUUGAAACUUCUAAUCUAGAGUAUGGGAGGGGGAGAUGGAAUUAGUGGUGUAGGGGUAAAAUCCGUAGAUAUCACUAGGAAUACCUAAAGCGAAGGCGAUCUCCUGGAACAUUACUGACGCUAAGGGGUGAAAGCGUGGGGAGCAAACAGGAUUAGAUACCCGCGUAGUC
rnacentral:rRNA from 1 species